AUUGAACGCUGGCGGCAUGCCUUACACAUGCAAGUCGAACGGCAGCACGGGGGCAACCCUGGUGGCGAGUGGCGAACGGGUGAGUAAUGCAUCGAACGUGCCCAGUAGUGGGGGAUAACUAGUCGAAAGAUUAGGCUAAUACCGCAUACGACCUAUGGGUGAAAGCGGGGGACCUUUACCGGCCUCGCGCUAUCGGAGCGGCCGAUGUCUGAUUAGCUAGUUGGCGGGGUAAAAGCCCACCAAGGCUACGAUCAGUAGCUGGUCUGAGAGGACGACCAGCCACACUGGGACUGAGACACGGCCCAGACUCCUACGGGAGGCAGCAGUGGGGAAUUUUGGACAAUGGGCGCAAGCCUGAUCCAGCCA
rnacentral:rRNA from 1 species